GCGAACAUUCAAGAGAAAACUCUUUUCAAAAAAUAGGAAUACUAUGGGGCUAGAAAAGGCUUUGGAACCAGAAUGCAAGUACAGUGUUUCAGAAGUUACAGAAGAUGAACAACAUAACACGGGUUGUACAUUAGUUGAUUUUGUCCAACUGUAGACUAAUUCAAGUAUUCUGCACAUGUUUAAGGGAGCACAGACGAUCCAGGAGAAGGUCAGUAUCAGCGGGUAAUGAGAACGGCUGGUACUCAAGAGACUUUCCCACAAGCCAGACCCUAUCUCCUCCACUCUUCAUUGUGUCAGUUCCUGGGAUUCUCAUCCCCUGUGGCACGGCUCCAUUCUGCAGAUGGAGAAACUGAAGCACGAAAAGGUGAAAUAUUGACGAGCCCUUCAACACACAGCAGAGCUGGUCUUUCAACUCAGCCUAGUGUGGCUCCCACAUCUGAGCCUUCAGAGAAUGCCAGUAUCCAAGUAUUGCCAUGCUUCUAUCCUAAAGUAUAUAGAGGAAGAGUGCAGGAGCCUAUGCCCAAUGAGAAAGGUCAGCAGAGGGGUUUUAAUUCUGCCUCCCAACUUUCCUGAAUGUUCCAAUACCAAUAGGAUAUACAUUAAGUAGAAAGACACAAAUAGAGUGAAACU